UCAAGUCAUAGCUCUGGCAUUGAAAGGGAUCCCAGAACUUCUCUGGUCUGACCCUCUCCUUUUACAGAGGAAGAUCCAGUCCCAGGGGCUGACUAAGAUCAAACAGAGAGCCAGUGGCAGAGUCCAGGAUGCUUUCUACCUCAUCACCAAAAGCGAAGGCUUAGGUUUCCUAUCCCCAGCUUUAUUAUGAAAUGAAACGAUAAUUCAGAUCAACUCUUUCUCUUUCCCCCUCAAAUCACAGUAGCCAUGGUGUAAUGGAGAGAGCUGGCCUUGGAAUUGGGAAGUCCGGGUUCAAGUCUUGCCUGUCACAGUAUGUGACCCAUCCUCCAGGUAGGCAACUCUCCUAAGACUAUAAAUUUCAGAAAAGGUUCUGAUCUGCAGCAAAGGAUAAAACUUCCUCCUCUGGGAGUUCACAGGCUUGGUCAUUGUGCCCUCAACCCCUUUGAACUGUCAUGUCUCUGGGCCAAGCUCACACCCACAAGGUGUCUUGACUUCUUUGUCAUUUGUGAGAUCCUCACAGUUCUGGGAGUUGGAAAAACACAGAAAGAUUCUUCUUGUUUGGGAGUGUACCAUUUUGUUCUACAUAGGCCAUACUUCUUCUUAAGUCACCCACUCUUCUUCUUUCUUCUUCCAUCUCAGGAAAAUUGGGCAGUGAGCUUGCCCGUGGGGCCAUGACAGUGCUGCCAUUCUGCUACAGCCCCAGCGCGGUCUCUGGUCUCAAGCAUGGACCGUUGGGUUCUUUGUCAGACAUGCAGGGAAGCUGGGAUUCAAAUGCAGAGAAGGAGCAAAGUUUCUGAAAAAUGUUCCCAGUAACAAGAAUUACAAUCAGCAAGGGCUUUUGAUACAGAAGAGUAUGUCCAUUGCUUUCUUCAAAGUUCACAAGAAAUCAUCCAGGGUGAUCAAAAUCCAAUGGCAAGACAAAAGUCCGGAUGACUGGCAGCGGUCCAGGAUGCAGGGGAUGACUUUGGCAUCUUUAAUGUCUGCCCCAUGCUAAGUACUCCACAGAGCCUGGGUGGACUUUGGAACAAAUUGUUGUCCACCAAUCCUGCCAGGAGAUGUCUUCCCAAGCUUGGACUGAAUCUCCCCCUAACUCACUGACACAUUUGUAGUCUCUUGGUUAUCCUCAACCUGGUUUGCUCCAUCUGCCAAGACAGUUUUACCAGGAAGUGACCACUCUCCAUGGUAAAGCUUCUUGGAGUCACAAAUGACAGUUGAGUACCAGAUAGUCACCAAAGUUGGAUGAGCAGCCCUGAAAAGGGCUCAGUAAGUCCUCAUACCAGAGAUGCUAGUCUUCUUUGACUACCCCAUAUACACUUUAAGGAAAGUGGGUUCAGGGCAGCUAGGUGGUGCAGUGGAUAGAGCACCAGCCCUGAAGACAGGAGGACUUGAGUUCAAAUCUGACCUCAGACACUUAAUACUUCCUAGCUGUAUGACCCUGGGCAAGUCACUUAACUCCAAUUGCCUUAGGGGAAAAAAAGUGGGUUCCAAUUUAGCACAGUUUUUAUAUAACAUCGGUUCCACUAAGGUAAUGUCCAAAUGAGACAUUGAGGCUGAGCCACUGUUAGGCUGGGUCUCUAACUCCUCUGGGUCUCAACACUAUAACACUCAAACAGUGACUCUGACUCCAUUCUUAGACUUCCUGAUGGCUCAUUCUCCUGACCUUCUGAAAUGCAUAAAGUUGUAGAUUCCAGUUUUCUUCAUCCCAGAACCAAAGAACAAAUAUCAAGGCAAAUAACCAGGGUUUGUAUUUAAGGGUCACAUGAUGGUCUCUGAUAGGCUCAGUCCUCUCUCUUUACAGCAUUAUCUCUCUUCUCUCACCAGAACAUCUCCAGGCAGGAAGAAAUCUUGCCAAGAGAAAGGAGAAGUUCUGGUAAACUAGUGCCUUUUGAAUGCCAGCCCCCCAGCUAUGCAGCCUGUUCACAUAACCAGCAGGCUGGAAACAGAUAUGAAUGUCUGCACAUCCUCUCAAAUUCCCAUGGACAUUGCAAUAACCAAGGCCCACAUGUAGGCUGACAAGAAUUGGGAUCAUUGACCAAUUCCCUCAUAUGUUGAAUAAUCAGAAUUUGUUGUAUUUUAGUGUUUUAUCUGUUUUACAUUUUAGGCUGAUAAAUUUAGAGCUGAAAAGGUCCUCAGAGACCAUCUAGUCUAUAUCUGAUAGAAACUGAAGCUCAGAGCUUAAUUAAUUGACUUGCUCAUUAUUCUAUAGGUAAUGAGCAGUGGAAUCAGAAGUAAUUCUUAAUUCACUUUCCAUUAGUUCAUAAAAGUCUUCCCAAGUUUCUCUGAAACCCUUACAUUUGUUGGAUUUCUUCUGACUUGAUAAUAUUAAAUUACAUUCAUUUACUACAAUUUGUUCAGCUAUUUCCCAAUCCAUGGACUGCCAUUUUGUUUCCUAUUUUUUGCUAUAGUAAAAAAGAUUGCUAUAAUAUUUUAAUAUUUAUCUAUGUGAUAUAUAAAAUCUAUAUGUAUGCAUAUGUAAAUAUUUUUUAAAUGUGAUAUAUGUAUUACAUAUAUUUGACACACAGAUAUACUUUGGAUUGGAGGAAGAUAUUGGCUCUUGAGGCAGAGAUGGUUUUCUUUUUCUUUUUCUAUCCUUAGCACCCAGCAAAGACAAUGUACAUUCGGGGAUCUUAAUAAAUAUUUGUCAAAUUGAAUUUGGAGGGUCUUGAAAGGGUUAGGAAGGAGAAGGGAUCAAUUUCCACUCAGUUGCUAUCCAUACCCAACUCAAACACCAGAUAGCAAAUUCUUGAAUCCAACAUGAGACCAUUCCAGCUCUCCUGUGCCAUUCUUUCAUAUGAGGACAAAUAGUCCCAUAUAUGUAGGUGAAUAAUAUAUCUUAGUUUCAUUUUGUAGGAAGCUACAUUUCUUUUCCCGUCUGAUAUAACAACCACCUUUGCAUUUCCAAGAGUUCUGAACCAGUAAAAGUGCCAUCUUUUAGCAGUAGGUGAGAAUAUAGUGGCCCAUUACCUGGUUAAUUCAUUCUCUCUACUUCUCCCCAAAUCAAGCCCAGUGACUUGUGUAAUACAAAGUUUGGUAGAUGAAGAAGAGAUUUCUAAAGUUUCCCAGUGCUAAUUUUUACUGUGAUCCUAUUAUGGGGGUGGUUAUUAAUAGGACCAAGUCCUUUCUAGGAAUGCAACAAGUGAAAACAGAAAGGAAACAGUUUAGUCUUAUCAAAGUCCUAGACUUGUUCGGCUACAAUAUUGUCUUCAUUUGUGAGAGCUUUGAUCCUUGCCUUGAUGGACCUUCUUGCCGCUGCAAAGGAAGCAGGGAAAGUGCCUUAUAAUGCUUCUUGGGGGCCAACCUAUGCUUUAUAGUUUCUUGGCAUUCAGUUUCAGUUGUUCUGCUGUUGUUAUUCUUUUCAUUUACAUUGUUACAGGCAUGAAGUAUGUUGUUUUCCUGGUUCUGCUGAUUUUUGCUUUGUAUCAGUUCAGGUAAGUCUUCCCUAUUUCACUAAAUUCGUCACAUUUGUCAUUUCUUAUAGCAUUAUAAUAUUCUAUGAUAUUCCAUUUACAGUUUUUUCCCCAUUCUUCAAUUGCUGGGCAUCUAACCUAUUUUCAUUUCUUUGAUAUCACAAAAAUUUCUGCCUUAAAUAUUUUUGUAUAUUUGGUGCUUUUUUGGUCAAUGAUCUCUUUGGGUUAUAUGUCUACAGGUGGAAUCUCUACGGCAAAAGUUAUGACCAUUUUAGCCACUUUAUUUGUUUUUUUUUAAUAAUAACUCUUUUUAAAAAUAUUUUAUUUUAUUUUAUAAUAACUUUAUAUUGACAGAAUCCAUGCCAGGGUAAUUUUUUUUACAACAUUAUCCCUUGCACUCGUUUCUGUUCCGAUUUUUCCCCUCCCUCCCUCCACCCCCUCCCCUAGAUGGCAAGCAGUCCUAUAUAUGUUAGAUAUGUUGCAGUAUAUCCUAGAUACAAUAUAUGUGUGCAGAACCGAACAGUUCUCUUAUUGCACAGGAGAAUUGGAUUCAGAAGGUAUAAAUAACCCGGGAAGAAAAACAAAAAUGCAGAUAGUUCACAUUCGUUUCCCAGUGUUCUUUCUUUGGAUUUAGUUGCUUCUCUCCAUCAUUUAUCAAUUGAAACUCAGUUAGGUCUCUUUGUCAAAGAAAUCCACUUCCAUCAGAAUAUAUCCUCAUACAAUAUCGUUGUCGAAGUGUAUAAUGAUCUCCUGGUUCUGCUCAUUUCACUCAGCAUCAGUUCAUGUAAGUCUCGCCAGUCCUCUCUGUAUUCAUCCUGCUGGUCAUUUCUUACAGAACAAUAAUAUUCCAUAAUGUUCAUAUACCACAAUUUACCCAGCCAUUCUCCAAUUGAUGGGCAUCCAUUCAUUUUCCAGUUUCCAGCCACUACAAACAGGGCUGCCACAAACAUUUUGGCACAUACAGGUCCCUUUCCCUUCUUUAGUAUUUCUUUGGGAUAUAAGCCCAAUAGAAACACUGCUGGAUCAAAGGGUAUGCACAAUUUUAUAACUUUUUGGGCAUAAUUCCAGAUUGCUCUCCAGAAUGGUUAGAUUUAUUCACAACUCCACCAACAAUGCAUCAGUGUCCCAGUUUUACCGCAUCCCCUCCAACAUUAUUUUUUCCUGUCAUCUUAGCCAAUCUGACAGGUGUGUAGUUAGCCACUUUAUUUGUAUAAAUUUUCAAAUUGUUUUCCAGUGUGGACAUACCAAUUCAUGGUUCCAUCAACAAUGCCCUCAAACAUUGAUUACUAUAAUGUUUUGUCAUCUUUGCCAAUUUUGGGGGCAUAAGGUAAAACCUCAGAUUUGAUUUGAUUUUCAUUUUUCUUUUUUAUUGUUUCUUCCCAUUAUAAGAAAAAACAAAUUUUCCUCAAUGGUAUUUUAAUUUUCCAAAUACAAAUAAAGAUAGUUCCCAACAUUAUUUUUUUAGGAUUUUGUGCUUCAAAUUCUUCUUCUUCCUUUUCUUACCUCCCUCCUUCCCAAGACAGCUAGAGCAAUUAUGCAGAUUAAACAUGUACAAUCAUUAUAAAUGUAUUACCAUGUUUGUCAUGGUAAUGAUCAGUAAUGGUAAAAUCAGACCAAAAGGGAGAGGAAACCAUAAGAAAGAAAAAGCAAAGAAACAAAAAAGGUGAAAAUAUUAUGUUUUGAUCCACCUUCCUUCUCCAUAGCUGUCUCUCUGGAUGCAGUUGGCAUUUUCAACCCCUAUUUCCACCUAUUUCCUAUUUCCACCCCUAUCUAUUGGAAUUGCUUUGAAUCAGCACAUUGCUGAGAAGAACCAAGUCCAUCACAAUAUAUCAUUAUAUAAUCUUGCUGUUACUGUGUACUCUUGGUUAUGCUCAUGUGCUCAGUUCAUCUAAGUCUUUCCAGGCUUUUCUGAAAUCAGCUUCCUCUCCUUGUAUUGUUCCUUGUAGAACAAUAAUAUUCCAUAACAUUCAUAUACCAUAACUUAUUUAGCCAUUCUCCAAAUGAUGGGCAUCCACUCAAUUUUCAGUUCUUUGCUACCACAAAUAGAGCUGCUGUAAACAAUUUACACGUGAUUGAUUCCCUCUUUUAUGGACUUUUUAGGAUACAGAUCCAGUAGUGAUAUUCCUAGAUCAAAGGGUAUAUACACAACAAAAACAAUUUUUACGGUUCAUUUUUAAAAACUGGGGUUCCAAAUUCCCUCUCCCUGCUUCUAUUCCCUCACUGAGAAGGCAAGUAAUUUGAUAUGGAUUAUACACAUGUAAUCAUGUAAAACAUAGUUCCAUAUUAGUUAUGUUGUAAAGGUAGUUCUAAUAAAUUUUGGAUGGAAAAUGUUAUUUGCAUCCAAACAGGGAACUAUAAAGACUGAAUUGUGAGCUGUGUGACCCUGGGCAAGUCACUUAUCCCCAACUGCCUCAGCAAAAAAAAAAAAAAAAAAAAAGACUGAAUGUGAAUUGAAGCAUAUUGUUUUCAUCCUGUUUUUGUUUUGUUUUGUUUUUUCUUUCUUAUGAUUUCCCCAUUUUGUUCUGAUUUUUCUUUCUCAACAUGACUUAUAUGGAUAUAAGUAAAAAAUGAAUAAGUAAAAAAUCGGAUUGCUUGCUGAUGUGAAAAGGGGGCAAGUGGAACCCAAAAUCUUACAAAAAUAAAUGUUGAAAACAAUCUUUAUGUGUAAUUGGGAAAACAAUAUAUAACUAGAAUUAAAUUUUCAAAAAGAAAAAAAGUCAUGUUAAAGACCUCCCUUAUCACCCAAAAAGGUUUUUAAAAAGUAGGUUUCAAUCUACACUCAGACUACAUCAGUUCUUUCUCUAGAAAUGGAUAACUUUUUUUUUAUCCUGAGUUCUUUGGAAUUGUCUUAAAUCAUUGUAUUGAUGAGAAUAGUUAAGACAUUCACAAUUGAUCAUCACACAAUAUUGCUAUUACUGUGUACGAUGUUCUCCUCGUCCUGUUUACUUCACUUUGCAUCUGUUCAUGUAGGUCCAAGAUUUUCUGAAAGCAUCCUGCUCAUCAUUUCUCAUGGUACAAUAGGAUUUCAUCAUAGUUGUAUGCUAUAACUUGUUUAGUCAUUCCCCAAUUAAUGGUCAUGUUCUUAAUUUCCAAUUCUUUGCUCCCAGAAAAAGAACUGUUAUAAAUAUUUUUGUACGUAUAAGUUUUUUUUUCCCUUUUUAAAAAAUCUCUUUGGGAUACAGAACUAGGAGUGGUAUAUGAUUUUAUAGCCCUUUGGGCAUAGUUACAAAUUACUCUCCAGAACAGUUGGAUCAGUUCACAAGUCCACCAACAGUGCAUUAGCUUCCAAUUUUCUCACAUCCCCUCCAAUAUUUGUCAUUUUCCCUUUCUGUCAUAUGAGACAAUCAGAUAGCUGUGAGGAGAUACCUCAGAGCUAUUUUAAUUUGCAUUUUUCUAAUCAACAGUGAUUUAGAGAAUUUUUUGUUAUAGCCAUAAAUAGUUCUAAUUUCUAUCUGAAAACUGCCUAUUCAUUCCCUUUGAUCAUUUAUGAAUUGGGUAAUGACUUAUAAGUUUGACUCAGUUCUCUAUAUAUCUGAGAAAUGAAGUCUUCAUCUGAAAUAAUUGCUGUAAAUUCCACUCCCUUCCCAGUUUUCUGCUUUCUUUUUAAUUUUGGCUGCAUUUGUUUUGUUUGUGUCAACCCUUUUUAAUUUAAUGUAAUCAAAAUGAUCAGUUUUAUAUUUUGUGAUGCUCUUUAUCUCUUCUUUGGUCAUAAAUUCUUCCCUUCUCCAUAGAUCUGACAGGGUAAAAUAUUCCAUGUUCCCAUAAUUUAUUUAUGCUACCAUGCUUUACAUCUAAAUCAUUUAACCAUUUUAACCUUAUCUAAUACGAUAUGAGGUUGUGAUCUAUACCUAGUUUCUGCCAUACUACUUUUCAGUUUUCCUAACAUUUUUUUUUCAAAUAGUGAGUACUUAUCCCUAAAAUUUGAAUCUUCAGGUUUAUCAAAUACUAGAUUACUAUAGUCAUUUGCUACAGUGUAUUUGUGUACCUAAUCUAUCCCAUUGAUACUCCAUUUUAUUUCUUAGCCAAUCUAAGAUUAUUUUGAUCAUUACCAUUUUAUAAUAGUUUGUGAUCUGGUAUGACUAAGCCACCUUCCUUCACACAUUUUUCAUUAAUUUCCUUGAUAUUUUUGACCUUUUCUUCUUCCAGAUGAAUUGUAUUAUUCUUUUUAGCUCUAUAAAAUAAUUUUUGGUAGUCAAUCUAGAUAGAAUUGUUACUUAAAUUAUAUUGGUUCAGCCUACCUAAAACAUUGGUUUUUCUUUUUAAGAAAAUUAUUUCCUUUUUAAUUUAUGGAAUAAAACAAGUAUUUAUAUGACUGCAUAAUAAAAACGAUGAUUGAACAUGAAACUGCAUGUCUAUUCCUUUUAAAUAUACAACAAAGUUAUGUAAAUUCAUUUUUUCUUUUUUUCUUUUCUUUUUCAUCUCCUGUCCUAAAGAUGGCCUCUAUUAGACAUAAAUAAAUAUAUGUGUAAAAUUAUCUAUACAUACUUCAAUUUAUCAGUUAUUUCUCUGAGUACAAAUAGGGUUUUUCCUUUAUAUGUCCUUUUUAGUUAAUUUUAGUAUUAUUGUUUCCAGUUCUUUAAUUUGACUUUCUAGUAAUAUAUAGAAAUGCUGAUGAUUUUUGUAGUCUAUUUUAUAACCUGCCACUUUGCUAAAAUUAAUUAUUUCAACAAAUUUUAGUUGAUUCUCUAGAAUUCUCUAAGUAUUUCAUCAUAUCAUCUACAAAGAGUGAUAAUCUUGUUUCCUCAUUGCCUAUUCUAAUUUCUUCUCCCUUAUUGCUAUAGUUAGAAUUUCUAAUACAGUACUGAAUAAUAGUAAUGAUAAUGGGUAUCCUUGGUUCACCCUUAAUCUUAUCGGGAAGACUUCUGCUUUAUCCCUUUUACAGAUAAUACUUGCUGAUGGUUUUAGGUAGAUUCUACUUAUCAUAAGGAAAAUUGCAUUUAUUCUUAUGCUUUCCAGGACUUUUAAUAUGAAUAGAUGUUGCACUUUGGCAAAGACUUUUCUCUGUAUCUAUUAAAAUAAUUAUAUUUUCCCAUUGGUUUUGUUAUUGUUAGGGCCAAUUAUAAUGAUAUCUUUCCAAAUAUUGAACCAGCCCUACAUUUCUGCUGGUCAUAGUGUAUAAUCCUUGUGAGAUAUCCCUAAAAGCUCUUUGUUACUGUUUUAUUUUAAUUUUUUGCAUCAAUAUUCAUCAGAGAAAUUGGUCUGUAGUUUUCUAUCUUUUUUAACUCUUCCUGGCUUAGGUAUCUGUACCAUAUUUGUAUCAUAAAAAGAAUUUGGUAGGACUCAGAAGAGGAAUUUCCCAAUAAGAUGAGAAGUAAAGCAAAGGUGCCCAUUAUCACCACUAUUAUGUCCUGGAAAUAAACAAUAAGAAAUUAUGACAAUAAAAGAUGAAACAUAUUUAACCUAUAUCAAUUAUUUGCUGUCUUGGAGAGGAAGGAAUAAGGGAAGGAGGAAGGAAAAUUUGGAACACGAAGUUUUGCAAAAGUGAAUGUUGAAAACUAAGAAAAGAAAAGAAAUGAAAUGAAAUGAAACAAGUCAUGCAAUGAAUAGAACACUCAGUGUCUACCUUCAUUUCUUCAAUUGUAAAAUAUUGAUAAUAAUAAUAAAAGGUAGCUAACUUUUGGGGUUUUGGUGAGGAUCAAAUUAGAAAAUACUUGUAAAUUAUUUAUAAAUAUUUGCUUCUUCCCUACCUUCCUCUUUCUUCCCUUCCUCCCUCUUUUCUUCCCUCCUCCCUCCCUCUUUCUUUUCUUCCCUUCUUCCCUCUUUCCCUUCCUCUCUCCCUCCUUCCCUCCCUACCUCCCUUCCUUUCUUCUUUCCUUCCUUCCUUCUUUCUUUCCUUCCCUCCUUCCUUCCUUCCUUCUUUCCUUCUUUCACCACACACUUGCCAGGGAUACAAAGAAAGGCCUCAUUUCCCAGCUCCUCGGAAUAUUCCAUCAUGGUGGUUGGCUUGAGUUUAGCCAACCUGAGGGUCUGGGAAUUGAAGAAAGUUGUUCCCUAAGAAUAUCUAGUCAUAAAAGCAGCUGCACCCAAAGAACGAACACUGGGAAACGAAUGUGUACUAUCUGCAUUUUUGUUUUUCUUCCCGGGUUAUUUAUACCUUCUGAAUCCAAUUCUCUAUGCAACAAGAGAACUGUUCGGUUCUGCAAACAUAUAUUGUAUCUAGGAUAUACUGCAACAUAUCCAACAUAUAAAGGACUGCUUGCCAUCUAGGGGAGGGGGUGGAGGGAGGGAGGGGAAAAAAAAUCGGAAAAGAAACGAGUGCAAGGGAUAAUGUUGUCAAUAUAAAGUAAUCAUUAAAUAAAAAUUUAAAAAAAAAAAGAAUAUCUAGUCAUGUUCCUGGGCUAAUGUUUGGCUGUGUCUUGUUGAGUCCUAACUGAGGCCAGAAAUGUACUUUAGGGCCUAAUAAACAAACCAAUGUGA